AAUUAAUCCCAUAACAACGAUGACAAGAAAAUAAUGAGAAGGGACAAAAAAGAACCUUCUUAUUACACUAAAAUAUCGAUAAAUUAUUAGUCAUGUUAUUAUGAAAAAAAUCUAUUAAUUUAGCGAAUGUUAAUGUAUCAAUAAAUUAAUAAUUAUCAAUUUAUAAAAUAGUAUCACUUUUAUAAUAAGAUUUUUCAUUAAGUAUAAAGGUAGUGUAAGUAGAGAAUUUAGUGUUUAUGUUAAGUUGUACGAGACAAUUCUGAUUUAUUCUUGAUCGAUUCAUUGAUCGAGUGAAUCAGUCACUUGAUAAUCCUUGGCUAUAUUGCAUGCCUGAAUCACGAUUUCAAUUAGAUUAAACUUCAAUCCACCUCUAUUUAGAAUGAUCAACUUCCAUUUACUCUUUAAAUACAAUUAUUUUUAAUAGUUGACUGAUGUUAACUUAAUAAAAUACGAGAAUGUCCCUAAUGCUAACUUACAAUUUUGUGAAGUUAAGAAGGAUAAUUUUAUUUUGCCGCUUGAGGCAUGCUGUAUUUUAAGUUAUAUGACAAAGAUAAUUUUGUUAAUAAAAAUCCCCUAAAACAAUAGUAAUAGACCUAUAAAAAAAUUAAAUUAAUUUUUACAUAUAUUUUAAUUCAUAAAAAAAAUAUAAUAAUUUAAAUUACAAUAUCACCACAAUGAAAAAAAAAAAAAAUUCACCCUUAUAUUGACGUUAGCCAUCGAAUAUAACUAUUUUUUAAAAAUAUAAAUCAUUAAUCAAUUAAUUAAUCUUUACCAUUCAAAACACCAUUUUACAUUCCAUUACUAUCUAUAAGGGUUACUGAUGUAAUUGAAUAGAUUGAAAAUUAAGAAUAUAUAUAUAUAACUUUGCAAAUUCAAAAAACCAAAACCUUACCUCUAAUCGUAAUCCCAAAAUUUUAUGUUUUCUUGGUUUUAUUAAUAUUUCAUUUGUUAUAAAUUUUAAUAUUACUAUUUUUUAAUUUUUUUAUAAUAAAUUCCUUUUUAUUAAAAGCCACUUUUUUGCAUUUUUCUUCCCAAACAUGAAGGUAAGGGUUAAAAUAUUAAAAUAAUUAAUAAUUUAUAAAUAUUUGAGUAUAUCUAACGUUUAUCAUUUUUCAUUGUUUAUCUUUAAAAAUCUUGAAAAAUAACCCCUUUAAUUUAUGAUUAAAAUAUGAAAAAAAUGAAAAGUUAAAAUAUUUUUAAAAUAAAAUUUUGAAAUGACUUAGUGGGCCACAAGAACUAAUUUUAUUCCUAAUUUGGGCUUUUGUACAUAAUAAUUUACCAACUAUGCCACUAUAAUUUGUUCUUAAUUUAAAUUUAAAAUUAUCAUUCAAUUUCUUUUCUUUUUUCCUUUAUACUUCAUACUUAUUUGGUACGGCUUUUAAAUAGACACAAAUACUUAUUUAAUCUCAUAAGCCUUCUUUUUUAAUUUUUUAUUAUUGUUUUUUUAUAUUUUCUUUUACUAGAGUUUUUAAAAAUUAAAUAAUUAUUUUAUCUCUACUAACAAAAAUUUUAAGUCUGUUCAGUGUUGUUUCUGAAUUAUAUAUUAUCUGAAAACAAAAAAUGAAUAAAAAUAGUGUUUUAUAGUAACUAUUUUUUGAAUUUAAACAUGAGUCUGAUAUUAUUUUCUGUAACAUAUAUUUUAAAAUUAAAAACAGUAAUAUAUGUUUGGUAAACAUAAUUGAGAAGGAUAAAAACAGUAAAUAUAUAUUUGGUAAUACAAUUUUUAAAAGUAGUUUUUACUUUAAGUCAUACUUAGAGUUAAAAAGUAAUUAUUUAACUAAUACAUACACAAACAUGCCAUAAAUAAUUUAAACAAAAUAAUUUUCAAAAAUUACAUGAUAAUUAUUUUUAGUGUUAGCAUUAACAAAUUCUACGAAUAUGAUUAAUUGGGUCUAAAAUAAACGCGAAGAACCACCAUCACAACUUACCCAGAUAGAAAAAUUGAGGAAUAAUACUAGCGAGUAGAGAUGAAGUAGAGACAAAGCAAAAAGCAGCAGCAGUAGUUGAGAGUUGAGACUGAGCAGAGAUGGAGCAACAAUAGCAGAGGCAGAGCAACAGUCAAUUUUGGGCACGGAAAGAGAGAGUUGCGACAGUGGAUUGUGGUUGACAAACGAGUAACAGUCACAAAGCGAAAGAGAGAGAGAGAGUUGUGAAAAGUUUAGGUGGCUUGUGGUUGAAGGAGAAGUAUCAACCACAAAGAAGAAAGAUGUGUGAAUAGAGAUAACGAGAGAGAUGGGAUAAGAUUUGAGACAGAGAAUGAUUGCUUUUGUAGUUUGUCUUGGGAUUUAUUUUUUUAAUUUAAUUUGCAAUUCAUUCGAGAAAUUCUUUGUUUAUAAUUAUUUUUUGGAUUCAACCCACCGAACAUGUAUUAUAUUUAUACUCGGAAAACAAAAAUGAAAACAA
rnacentral:lncRNA from 1 species